UACGUAGGGUGCAAGCAUUGUCCGGAUUUAUUGGGCGUAAAGAGCUCGUAGGCGGCUUGUCACGUCGGGUGUGAAAACUCGGGGCUCAACCCCGAGCCUGCACUCGAUACGGGCUAGCUAGAGUGUUGCAGGGGAGACUGGAAUUCCUGGUGUAGCGGUGAAAUGCGCAGAUAUCAGGAGGAACACCUGAGGUGGAGACGGGUUGCUGGGCUGACACUGACGCUGAGGCGCGAAAGCUAGGGUAGCAAACGGG
rnacentral:rRNA from 1 species